CGGUAACAGCUCAAAUUUAAAAUCCGGCCUUCACGGGCCCGAGUUGUAAUUUGUAGAGGAUGUUUCGGACAAGGCUGUGGUCUAAGUUCCUUGGAACAGGACGUCACAGAGGGUGAGAAUCCCGUACGUGGUCGCAGGCCUUCUCGAGGUAAAGCCCCUUCGAC
rnacentral:rRNA from 1 species